rfam:Aptenodytes forsteri contig11573, whole genome shotgun sequence.
GCCCGGCUAGCUCAGGCGGUAGAGCAUGAGACUCUUAAUCUCAGGGUCAUGGGUUCAAGCCCCACGUUGGGUG